AUACGUAGGGGGCAAGCGUUAUCCGGAUUUACUGGGUGUAAAGGGAGCGUAGACGGUUUGGCACGUCUGAAGUGAAAGCUCGGGGCUCAACCCCGGAACUGCUUUGGAAACUGUCUGACUGGAGUGCAGGAGAGGUAAGCGGAAUUCCUAGUGUAGCGGUGAAAUGCGUAGAUAUUAGGAGGAACACCAGAGGCGAAGGCAGCUUACCGGACUGUAACUGACGUUGAGGAUCGAAUGCGUGGGGAGCAAACAGUAUUAGAUGCCCUGGUAGUCCACGCGGUAAACGAUGAUCACUAGGUGUUGGCACGCAUAGCGUGUCGGUGCCUCAGCAAACGCAAUAAGUGAUCCCCCUGGGGAGUACGUUAGCAAGAAUGAAACUCACAUGAAUGGACGGGG
rnacentral:rRNA from 1 species